rnacentral:rRNA from 1 species
CCCUUAGAUGUUCUGGGCUGCACGCGCGCUACACUGAUGCGUUCAACAAGUGUUAACCUUGCCCGAUAGGGUUGGGUAAUCUUUUGAAAGCGCAUCGUGAUGGGGAUCGAUGACUGCAAUUGUUCAUCUUCAACGAGGAAUUCCUAGUAAGCGCAAGUCAUCAGCUUGCACUGAUUACGUCCCUGCCCUUUGUACACACCGCCCGUCGCUCCUACCGAUUGAGUGCUCAGGUGAAUAAUUCGGACUACAGCAAUGUUUGGAUCCCGAACGUUGCAGCGGAAAGUUUAGUGAACCUUAUCACUUAGAGGAAGGAGAAGUCGUAACA